CUACGGGGUGCACCAGUGGGGAAUAUUGCACAAUGGGCGCAAGCCUGAUGCAGCCAUGCCGCGUGUAUGAAGAAGGCCUUCGGGUUGUAAAGUACUUUCAGCGGGGAGGAAGGGAGUAAAGUUAAUACCUUUGCUCAUUGACGUUACCCGCAGAAGAAGCACCGGCUAACUCCGUGCCAGCAGCCGCGGUAAUACGGAGGGUGCAAGCGUUAAUCGGAAUUACUGGGCGUAAAGCGCACGCAGGCGGUUUGUGAAGUCAGAUGUGAAAUCCCCGGGCUCAACCUGGGGACUGCAUCUGAUACUGGCAAGCUUGAGUCUCGUAGAGGGGGGUAGAAUUCCAGGUGUAGCGGUGAAAUGCGUAGAGAUCUGGAGGAAUACCGGUGGCGAAGGCGGCCCCCUGGACGAAGACUGACGCUCAGGUGCGAAAGCGUGGGGAGCAAACAGGAUUAGAUACCCGCGUAGUC
rnacentral:rRNA from 1 species